CUUCAUUAUUGACCCAGCAACUUCUAGAAUGCUGAUAUAACACUUCAGAUUUUAUGCCCAUGUUAAUAUGCGAGUGAAUGAGGGAGUGAGGGAGUGAGUAAAAGU